UACAGAGGGGGCAAGCGUUGUUCGGAAUUACUGGGCGUAAAGGGCGCGUAGGCGGCCCGCUAAGUCGAACGUGAAAUCCCCGGGCUCAACCCGGGAACUGCGUCCGAUACUGGCAGGCUUGAAUCCGGGAGAGGGAUGCGGAAUUCCAGGUGUAGCGGUGAAAUGCGUAGAUAUCUGGAGGAACACCGGUGGCGAAGGCGGCAUCCUGGACUGGCAUUGACGCUGGGGCGCGAAAGCCAGGGGAGCAAACGGG
rnacentral:rRNA from 1 species